rnacentral:rRNA from 1 species
AUGCUCCUCCCCCGCCUGCUCCCCGCGCACCGCCUCCUCGCCGGCGGCCUCCGCCCCCUCCUCCUCCUCCCACGCCGCCGCCUCGCUCCCCGGCCGCCCGUCGCCGUCUCCAUGUCCUCCUCCUCCUCCGCGCCCGCCCGCCGCAGGGGCCCGCUGCGGGGGGUGGUGUUCGACAUGGACGGGACCCUGACGGUGCCCGUCAUCGACUUCCCGGCCAUGUACCGCGAGGUGCUCGGCGGGGAGGCGGCCUACGCCGCGGCGCGCGAGGCCGGCGGGGGCGCCGUCGACAUCCUCCACUGCAUCGAGGCCUGGGGCCCCGACGAGCAGCGCCGCGCCUACGAGGCCAUCGCCCGGUUCGAGCGCGACGGCCUCGACCGCCUCCAGAUCAUGCCCGGGGCCUCGGAGCUCUGCGGGUUCCUCGACGCGAGGCAAAUCAGGAGGGGUUUAAUCACCCGCAAUGUGAAGGACGCAGUUGAUUUGUUUCACCAAAGGUUUGGUAUGAAAUUUGUGCCUGCAUUAAGCAGAGAAUUCCGCCCCUAUAAGCCAGAUCCAGCUCCAUUGCUUCAUAUUUGCUCCACUUGGGACAUUCCACCGACCGAGGUGAUCAUGGUUGGUGACAGCCUCAAGGAUGACAUCGUUUGUGGAAAGAGAGCAGGAGCAUUCACUUGCCUACUUGACGAAACUGGGCGAUACGGCCCCCACGAUUCUUUGCCUGAAGAUGUUAAGCCUGACUUCAUGGUGUCUUCACUCCCCGAAGUACUGUCGGUGCUUGAGGAGCAUUUCGAUUUGGCUCCAGUGUCUGUCGCCGAGAGUAGAAUAUGA